UUCUUUGUCAUCAAGCAUCUUUAUUUUUCUGUUACAUAAAACACUGUUAACUGGGCAAGACGGAAAGUGUAGGAAAAUGUACCUUCCCGUUCCUGGAAGCCCAGGCUAGAGCUGAGAGGGAUGAGGGGGGACACAGGACAACACAGGAGAUGAAGAGCGCUGGCGAGGGCAUCAGUCCCCUCACCAGCUAUAGAGUUAGCUCAAGACAACACACCAUGCUACAAAGCCACCCCAUUAACACAUCCUUCCCAAGUCAGGACAUUGCCUUACAAAUGAGCUCCAAGACUAUAUAAAUGACCAAAAAAAAAAAAAUCGUGUUCAAAUAUACAAUAUUUGCCAUUGUAGGAAAAGUCAGGAUACACAUAUUCAACAUGGCUGGACAGUGGGACACAGGGGCCAGGGGAGGGGCAGGGAGGCUGGGAGCAUCUCUGUGGUCCUACUAAGCAGAAGCGAACCCAGAGGCCCAGGCAGCUAGCUUGGGAAUGCUCCAGAAGGAGGGGAUGAUGGGCCUGAACAUGAGGUGCCCAGACCAAAGAAGGGGGGAUUCUAGAUUGUAGCACUUAGAAUGCUUUGGAAUAAAUAUAUUAUUUUUCCAUUUAAAUAGAAGCCAAUGCCCUGGUCCCCGGAUCCCAGCGCAUUCUCAGCGCAGCCUCAGGGACCCCAAAGGCUACUAGCCGGAAGCAGCAGAGGCCUGGCCGA
rnacentral:lncRNA from 1 species